GAAUCAACGCUGGCGGCGUGCCUAACACAUGCAAGUCGAACGCGAAAGGGGCUUCGGUCCUGAGUAGAGUGGCAAACGGGUGAGUAACACGUGGGUGACCUGCCUUCGAGUGGGGGAGUAACGUCCCGAAAGGGACGCUAAUACCGCAUGACAUCCUGCUUUUGGAAAAGCGGACAUUAAAGCCGGGGAUCGCAAGACCUGGCGCUUGAAGAGGGGCCCGCGCCUGAUUAGCUAGUUGGNGGGGUAAUGGCUCACCAAGGCAACGAUCAGUAUCCGGCCUGAGA
rnacentral:rRNA from 1 species